rnacentral:hammerhead_ribozyme from 1 species
GUACUCCUGAUGAGUUCCAAACUAGAAUGAAACACUUGUCGAGUAC